rnacentral:rRNA from 1 species
UUAGAGUUUGAUCCUGGCUCAGAUUGAACGCUGGCGGCAGGCCUAACACAUGCAAGUCGAGCGGUAACAUUUCUAGCUUGCUAGAAGAUGACGAGCGGCGGACGGGUGAGUAAUGCUUGGGAACAUGCCUUGAGGUGGGGGACAACCAUUGGAAACGAUGGCUAAUACCGCAUAAUGUCUACGGACCAAAGGGGGCUUCGGCUCUCGCCUUUAGAUUGGCCCAAGUGGGAUUAGCUAGUUGGUGAGGUAAAGGCUCACCAAGGCGACGAUCCCUAGCUGGUUUGAGAGGAUGAUCAGCCACACUGGAACUGAGACACGGUCCAGACUCCUACGGGAGGCAGCAGUGGGGAAUAUUGCACAAUGGGCGCAAGCCUGAUGCAGCCAUGCCGCGUGUGUGAAGAAGGCCUUCGGGUUGUAAAGCACUUUCAGUCAGGAGGAAAGGUUAGUAGUUAAUACCUGCUAGCU